UCCGUAGGCGGAUUGAUAAGUCAGAGGUGAAAUCCCACAGCUUAACUGUGGAACUGCCUUUGAAACUGUUAGUCUUGAGUUAUAUGGAAGUAGAUAGAAUGUGUAGUGUAGCGGUGAAAUGCAUAGAGAUUACACAGAAUACCGAUUGCGAAGGCAGUCUACUACGUAUAUACUGACGCUAAUGGACGAAAGCGUGGGGAGCGAACAGGAUUAGAUAACCUGGUAGUCC
rnacentral:rRNA from 1 species